GCACUGCUGAAGAGUCCCAUAAUAGGACGAAACGGCCGUUCACUGC
rnacentral:hammerhead_ribozyme from 1 species